rnacentral:lncRNA from 1 species
UCGAAUCCCUAUACAGGCAAUAGUAUUAUUUUUUUGCUCAGAUUUUGGGAUAGAGUUGUGUAAUAGGGGGAUUCUCAGUACUGGAUGUGUAGUGGGAAUUAGGGGAGAAGAUUAAGGGAUUUUGGGGGUUAUCGAGAUUUUAUUUUAUUUUUUUCCAUAACCGAAUUUGACUCUCUUUUCCAAAAAAAUUUUUGCCGUCUAUUCUUCUCUUUCUCCUCUUACCAAAAUUCUCUGAGUUUUUCCAUCUUUCUCUUCUUUUUCUUCUUCUUGAUUUUUCCCUAAUCCAUUUAUUUUCCUUCGUUUUUGCACGCGGUUAGUACUCGCCUAGUUUCGGUAAGUGUUUCUAUUCAAUUCUGUCAUGAAUCUCUUAGCGACUGAAGUGGUAAUGUUUUUUCUUUACGAUUUGGGUGUAGAGGAGGCUCGAACUGGUGAAUUUUGUGUUCUCGUCUUAACAAUAGUUAAACGGAGAGUUAUCGUUGGUGGUAAGAUGUGUUUUUGUUCGUUCUUGGUUGUCAAUUCAUUUGUAAAUCCAUUAAAUUGAUGUUGAGUAUCUUGUUUAUAGGCUUUAGAGUGCUCAGGAACUAUUUUAACAUCAAACAAAACCAGUUGUGUACCUGAACCGGAAAAAAAGGGAUUCAGCGAAAAGCUGAAAUUGCUUGAUGUUUGGACAGUAGCAGUAGGC